GCAGGAGUGGCGGAACGGCAGACGCGCUGUCUUCAGGCGGCAGUAUCUUAUGAUGUGAGGGUUCAAAUCCCUUCUCCUGCA
rnacentral:tRNA from 1 species